rnacentral:rRNA from 1 species
UGCCAGCCGCCGCGGUAAUACGGAGGGGGCGAGCGUUGUUCGGAAUUACUGGGCGUAAAGGGCGCGUAGGCGGAUGAUCAAGUCAGUGGUGAAAGUCCUGGGCUCAACCUGGGGACUGCCUUUGAAACUGAUUGUCUUGAGACCGGGAGAGGAUGGCGGAAUUCCCAGUGUAGAGGUGAAAUUCGUAGAUAUUGGGAAGAACACCGGUGGCGAAGGCGGCCAUCUGGACCGAAUCUGACGCUGAGGCGCGAAAGCGUGGGGAGCAAACAGGAUUAGAUA